rnacentral:rRNA from 1 species
UAUUGGACAAUGGGCGCAAGCCUGAUCCAGCAAUGCCGCGUGAGUGAUGAAGGCCUUAGGGUUGUAAAGCUCUUUUACCCGGGAUGAUAAUGACAGUACCGGGAGAAUAAGCUCCGGCUAACUCCGUGCCAGCAGCCGCGGUAAUACGGAGGGAGCUAGCGUUGUUCGGAAUUACUGGGCGUAAAGCGAACGUAGGCGGCUUUGUAAGUUAGGGGUGAAAGCCUGGAGCUCAACUCCAGAAUUGCCUUUAAGACUGCAUCGCUUGAAUCCGGGAGAGGUAAGUGGAAUUCCGAGUGUAGAGGUGAAAUUCGUAGAUAUUCGGAAGAACACCAGUGGCGAAGGCGGCUCACUGGACCGGUAUUGACGCUGAGGUGCGAAAGCGUGGGGAGCAAACAGG